AGGAUGAACGCUGGCGGCGUGCCUAACACAUGCAAGUCGAACGUCCUGUCUCGCAAGAGGCAGGGAGUGGCGGACGGGUGAGUACCACGUGGGUCAUCUACCGUGAGGUGAGGAAUACCGGCGAGAAAUCGCCGACAAGACCGCAUAGGCUCGAUGCAAGUCGAGCAAAGCUCUUUCGAGAGAGGGAGCGCCACACGAGGAGCCUGCGCCCGAUUAGCUAGCUGGUGGAGUAACGGUUCACCAGGGCGACGAUCGGUAGCUGGUCUGAGAGGACGAUCAGCCAUACUGGGAUUGAGAACGGCCCAGACUCCUACGGGGGGCAGCAGUGAGGAAUUUUCGUCAAUGGGGGCAACCCUGAACGAGCAACGCCGCGUGCAGGAAGAAGGUUUCGGAUCGUAAACUGCUUUUCGUCGGGGAAGAGAACGGACGGUACCCGAGGAAUCGAGCCCCGGCUAACUACGCGCCAGCAGCCGCGGU
rnacentral:rRNA from 1 species